rnacentral:lncRNA from 1 species
GGAUAAUCUUCUUAAGACUCGAUAUUCCAUUAUUGACAUCCUGCCCAUAGAAAGAACAGUAAUCAGACUGAGCUUAGUGACUGACAACAGCUAAUUUUUAGCAUUAGAACAAAGCUAGUUUUUCUUCUGGUACACCUCAAAAGGACUAACCAUUUCCCAUACAAGAGCUACACUACAUCCGUAGGCAGUGACCAUACAGCCCAGGUGCUAAAGUUGGAGCUACAUCGUAAGAUCCAGAAUAGUGUAAGUGUAUCUCUCUUUUUUUAUCUUCCAAAUACCAGAGACUUACUACAGUAUCAGUCCCUGUAUUCUCUGCUGGUUUUGUCAUUCCAUAAACCACAAAGGACAUUCAAGGCUCUACACCUACACCCCAUUCCAUUCCCCCCUGUUCUACCACAUUUCUAUUCACUGGAGAAGAGAGACACUGGAUUCGUGGAUUCGGUGGUGUAGCUGCCUGUAAGAACUGUAUCAGUAUUAUCUAGGGGCUCAAUAUUUUUCAUUUUGUUUUCCCUAAUGUUGUGAUAGCCUUUAUACUUAUUUCUUCGGAUGGACCCCCUUUUCGUACACACAGCGGUUCAAAAAGAGAAUAGUCAAGAAUACAGAACAGCAUCACCAGAGAGGAAUCCGCAAGAUGAAUUUACCUUGCUCUGAGGAAGAAUAUUGAAUUUGUAAUAACACUUAUCCCAGCCGCCAGGGCAAAAUGCCUCAUCGCCAUGGCAAUGUGGCACCUCGGAUUUGUUAAGCCUGUUCAGCGUCUGCAGAAUCAGCCUCUCUGCAGCGGUGGCUGAGGCAGAAUGAAGCAGGGCGGCGAGGGAGCUGUAAUCUCGAAGCUCUUCUUGCUCUGAUCCCUCGCGCCAAGCUGUAAGGACGGUUGCGGGUUAUAACCUCACUCUAGCCCCAGCAUCCCUAAACAGCACACGAGGGAGCAAAGCAAGAGCUUUUCAGCAGCUACCCUGGACCCCAAAGAAAGGGAGGCUGGGUGGGCUGAAAGGGGCACUCCAGGCAACAAAACAACUUAAUCUUAAUGAAGUUGUUAUGGUUACAGGAGGCCCCCGGGUGCACUCUUACCUUCUCGAGCGGUUGGCCAAGAGUGGUCAGCUGAUGCUCUCAGACAAUCAGGGACACCGCAUUCACAAAACUGGUUUGGAAAGAAACUUACCUUUUCCAGCCAAUCUGCUGUGCCCUUGCAGGGCGGCACUCCACCCUUCCUGAAACGGAAAAUUCUGAAGCUGGAUACCGCCUGGGGGCGAAUUAGUUGAGAUCAGCGCUGGAGGCAACUAUGGGAUUAAACCGCUUGAGAUCAGUUUAACCCCUGAAGGUAAGCGUGCACCCAAGACCCCCCUGGCACCUUAACAACUUUCUUUAAAUGAAGUUGUUAUGGUGCCUUAUGCUGACUAAACUGCUCCUUUAAAUAAAAAAAACAAACAAUUUGAGACUGUGUGUGAGAGAAUAUAUGUGUGUCAAAUUACUGAGUGUGUUUAGGUGACCGGCCCCCCUGCAGUCCCAUGGGAAAGUUAUUUUUACUCACCUUUUCCCCCACGCCAUGCCGGUCCCACUGUGGCUGGUCGUACCUCCAUGAUGGAGAUAAUCAAUCUUGAUGAUCUAAUGCCAAAUCAAUGUUUUCCCAUAGGAAAGCAUUGGGAGAUUAUUGCACGUGAGGCAAACCACCACACUGCGCCAAUCAGCAUCUCCUCAUCAUAGAGCAUUGAGUCAAUGCAUCUCUAUGGGGAACAUUCAGCACCUUCAUGCAGAGCAUAGUCUAAGAAGCACCUCUGACUGUCACUAGAGGUGCUUCUAGCAAUGUAAACACUGCCUUUUCUCUGGAAAACCUGCAGGGACAGGCAAUAGCCACUAGAGAACUACAUUAAAGCUGUAGUGGAUCUGGUGACUAUAGUAUCCCUUUAAGAAUUGUAUUUUUAUUGUUGAAAAUAAAGCUUUGUUAGAUUAAAAAAAAACAAAAAACAAAAAAAAAACCUGGCUUUUAAAUUCAAAGCUAAUUUGUCAGCCUCGACUUAUGCCAUUAGUAUGCACAUGCAUCCUGUUUAUUGUUAUAUUUACUUCAAUCUUUUCUCUUAAAGGGACUCAUUAAAAGUUGUAUUCCUAACACUAUAGUGCCCUCUAGUCGCCCCCUCCCUCAUUCUGCCACACCCAGCAAAUGAAGGGUUAAAAUACUUUAUUUACUCAACCGAUUCCAGCGCAGAUGUUCAUCGACGCUGAAUAGAUGGUCUGCCUCCUCCGACCGGGGGACUUAAUGCACAUUAAUGCUUUCCUAUUGGGAUUUUCCCCAAAGCUGGAUGUUCUCAUGCAGGCCAUUAAGACAUCCAGCGUCGUUUAAGGGACCCAGAAUCCUGUAAACUCUCAGAAGCACCCCUAGUGACCAUAUGGCAGACUCAGUACUGCAAUGUAAACAUUGGAACUUCACAAAGACCUUAUUGUUUUAGAUAGGGAUCAACCGAUUAUCAGUCUGGUCGAUAUUCUGUAUUUUCAGCAAUAUCAGUAUCGGCUAAUAAAGAUACCGAUAUUGCCCAUAAUGCAGACCAGUGCCGCCAUCAUGGUCCUGGGGGGCCCAGCACACUCUUACUUAGCCAGCAGCUCCCCUGUCUAAACCUCAGGGCUGUCAGAGCGUUGCCACGGGUUACUAGGCCGAGAGAGUUAGACAGGGGAGCUCCUGGGAAGGUAAGUAUCAGCGUGCUGGGCCCUCACUGCACAGUCCAUGCCACCGGACCACCAGGGAAUGCCAUAUCCCACUCCCUGGCCAUGUAAAGAGCAGGGAAGGGGGAUUAAAAAAAAUAUAUUUAUAAAAUGCUCCCCCCCCCCCCACUUAACAUACCUACACAAAACACACACAUUCUGCAUUCAUUAUAUACACACACACACACACACACACACUACAAACACACUGCAUUCACUAAUCAAAUACUCUCGCUGAAUCCAUUACACACACAUUCUUGAAAACAUAAAAUAUUCUGACUGGCAUAUAUAUUUUGUGCAUUUACCUUAAUUAAACAAAAAGAUUUGCAAACAAAUAAUAAACCUGUUUAGUUAACAGAUUUGUGUAGAGAUUGUUUAUUUUUAAAAUGGUAAAUGAACAGAAUAUCGGUAAGUUAAUCGGCUAUCAGCCUGAAAGUUCACAGAAAUCGGUAUCAGCUCUAAACAAUCAAUAUCGGUUGAUCCCUAGUUGUACAUUGCAGGACUACGGGCAACAGGGACAGUGCACCCAGACCACUUCAAUGAGCUGAAGUAUUCUGGGCGUGCGUGGUUAUUUCGCCGCCGGAAAUCCAUGUGUGGAACGCAACCGGAAGUUGUGAUUUGGAACGCAGAACAUUACCGGACGGAUUACCAGCUGAUCUUAGCCGCGAAUUUUAAGGUGGCGAUCACCUGGAAAAUAUUGUUUCUAUUGAAGAGGGACUGCCUACAAAGGAACUCUCCAAUCAACAAUCGGACUGGUUAUAUUUAAGGGACUCUGUUGGGGGUGGGAUUAUGCAUGCUUUGUAUUUGACAUAUUGUGUAUACUGCAAAAAAUUCUCUCUGAUGAAGUCCAAUUUGUAUGGAAGAAACGCGUUAGAUGCAGUAUUAUUUGUAUACUUUUAACUAUUGAUUUUUUGAUAUAGGCCUAUUAGUGCCUUUUAAUAAUAAUAAAAAAAAAUUUUUAUACUUCACUGGCAUACUCCCACUUCUUUGAAGACAGAGCAACCUAUUCGUGGAGGGUGAAUACCACUGCAGCCCUUGAGGGCUUAAAGGCGCAUUAUCCAUCACUAUUUUGUGAGUGCAAUCAUUGAAGUUUAUAUUUUAUUAUUGUGACGGUACUUCACUAUGUACUAUGUAUUCUUAUGUUUUUUAGUCAUUCAGCUGUAUCCCUAUUUUGUCCAUUUACAUAUCUGCAUUUGAGGUUCGUUUGGGGGAAACCUCUUGGGAAGCUGCAUUCAUCUCAUACCAAGUUAAGUACUCGUGUAUAUUCCUACCACUGUGUUGGUUAGGUACAUUUGUAUUUCUUGCGUUUGUAUUUUUUUCUUUUUCUUUCUGCCUAUAAUGUCCCUUUAAUAAUCAGUCACAUGACCCAACUUACAAAUUUCCCAGUUUACCUAUCCUCCCUUUUAACCCUAUGAGCAUCACAACCUUUACUUUUCCUCCUCUUUACAAGAUCCAACUUAAUGUCUAUGGAGAUACAAGUCACAGGUGUACACAAGCUGAAGUUUGUAUCUUUCUUUUAAAG